GCGAAGACCAGAAAUCCAGCUCUCUCUCGCGCGCUCGUUCUUCCUUCUCUGAAGCGAUGAGUCUCUUCGGUCUAGGCAGCAGAAAUCAAAGGACUUUUCGCCCCAAGAAGAGUGCACCAUCGGGGAGUAAGGGGGCUCAACUCAGAAAGCACAUUGAUGCCACACUUGGUAGUGGAAAUUUAAGGGAAGCAGUGAGACUUCCAACUGGGGAGGAUUUGAAUGAGUGGCUGGCUGUCAACACUGUGGAUUUCUU
rnacentral:misc_RNA from 1 species